ensembl:miRNA
ACUGGCUCUCUUGAGGUAGCCUGAAAGGAAGGGAGGCUACCUCAAGAGAGCCAGUUU